AUACGGAGGGUGCGAGCGUUAAUCGGAAUUACUGGGCGUAAAGGGUGCGUAGGCGGCUUGAUAAGUCGGAUGUGAAAGCCCCGGGCUUAACCUGGGAAUCGCAUUCGAUACUGUCAGGCUAGAGUAUGUCAGAGGUUGGCGGAAUUCCUAGUGUAGCGGUGAAAUGCGUAGAUAUCAGGAGGAACACCAGUGGCGAAGGCGGCUAACUGGGGCAAUACUGACGCUGAGGCACGAAAGCGUGGGGAGCAAACAGGAUUAGAAACCCUAGUAGUCC
rnacentral:rRNA from 1 species